GCCUGGGUGGCUCAUUCGGUUAAGCGUCCGACUUCGGCUCAGGUCGUGAUCUCACGGUUCGGGAGUUCGAGUCCCACCUCAGGCU
rfam:Felis catus breed Abyssinian Contig187840.1, whole genome shotgun sequence. [26-MAY-2016]